rnacentral:lncRNA from 1 species
GAAUUACAAUCACAACGACUCACUCAGUCACACACACCAGCCCUAACCCUACCAAAGCUAUCAAACGCCAAUGCCGCUGCCGCUGUCAAAUCGAUUCAAGUGCUCCGGCGCUGAGUCUAGCCGUCCUUGAGCCGAUUUGCUUCCUUUUUCUGCCGCCGCUGUCAAUCUCUGCCAUUUUUGAGCCGAUUCACUUCCGCAAAACAGCUGCUGUCAUCUCUGCCGACAUUGCCUCUGUGUUCGUUCACCGUCAGAUGCAGUGUUAUUGUGGUGACACUGCCUCCGCUAUCAAGUCAGUUCAAAUUUUCUGGGUGCUAUCUCGAAAAUGUUGGUGAGAUUGUUGCCAAUGAUAUUCUAAAAUUUUGAAUUCAGGGUUAUUGUUUCACCACUGUGAGUUGCUUUCUCCAAUUUUGCAAUUCUUUCCUCUUAAUUUGCUUUGAAAUAUUUGCUCGUUGGAUUUAUUUCCUCUUCAUUUAUAAUCGAUUUGGUGAUUUUGUGUUGUGUAGCUUGUACCUUAGUCUCUCCUUUUCCUUUCAUAAUAUUAUAAAAUAUGUCGUGCACUUUGGCCUUUCGUUUCUUGAUUUUCUUGGUUAAUGAAUUUGGAAAAAGAGUGAAUUAUGGGUAAGGGGAUAGAAAAUCACAUUGACAGAAAAGAGGACUGAAACGCCUUGAUUUUUACUAAGUGGAGUUUACUUAUUUGUUAAAAAAAUAAAUUUUAAAUUAUUAAUGAUUUAAUUGUCUUAUGCUUAUUAUAUUGUUCGUAAAAUUUUUGUUACAAGUCCAGCCCAUGAACCUCUUUAUGUUUUAGCAUUUCUUUAUUUAUUUACGAAACGAAAACCAGCGUUCGAAUUCAAAAGGAACAAAACAGAAAAAGGAAGAAAGGAAACAAGAGGAUAACAGGACGUGAGAGAGGAGAAGAGGGAGAAAGAAGAGAAAGACAAGAGAGGCUAGGUGAAGGAUUUGGAUUUAAAGAGAGAGAAUUCAAUUUCAGAGGAAAAUAUUAAAUAUCUGGCUUUUUAAAUUUGUAAGCCUUAUUCAAUUUCAGAGCAAAAUAUUAAAUAUCUGGCUUUUUAAAUUUGUAAGCCUUCUUUCUCAGUUCACUUUAUUCUUUUAUUUUUCUUCAAAAUUCUUGUUUAAAUUGGCAUGCUUGUUGAUGUUGUUAAGUCAUUUCUAAAUUAACUUGCAUA